AUGAACUAUCCGGUGAAAUACAUUUUGCUUGAGACACCAAUAGUGCACAGAGAUAUAACAAGCAACAACAUUUUGCUUGAUCUGGAAUUUAGAGCUUGCAUAUCUGACUUCGGUACAGCUAAAAUACUCAAUAUUGAUGGCCAAAAUAUCACAAGGCAUGCUGGGACUAAAGGCUACAUUGCCCCGGAGCUAGCAUAUACAGAGAAUGUGACGGAAAAAUGUGACGUAUACAGCUUUGGAGUACUUGUUCUGGAGGUAUUCAUGGGAAUUCAUCCAGGCGAUUUGAUCUCAUCCCUCCCGUUGACCAGCAAGAAUAAUGAUGUGUGCCUACGGGGUCUGCUGGACUCCAGGCUCGUGAUCCCUGAUGCUGAAACCGCAGGAGAAAUAUACAAAGUGCUCAGUGUUGGUGUACAGUGCUUGGAUCCUAACCCCACACGCAGACCAACGGCACUACGUGCCAGUGAAGACCUUGGGAGCAAAACAUGUGAAGAUAAUAUUGAUUAUCUGGACGCUGUUCUCACAAUUCCUCCCCAGUAG
rnacentral:rRNA from 1 species